rnacentral:rRNA from 1 species
AGGUGAAUAGCCUCACCAACGGCGAGUGAAGCGGCAAAAGCUCAAAUUUGAAAUCCUUCGGGAGUUGUAAUUUGUAGGUUGGGAGACCCCGCGGCUAGUGGCACCAAGUCCCUUGGAACAGGGCGCCUUAGAGGGUGAGAGCCCCGUAGGUACCACAACACCGUCUUGUGUCUCCUCUCCAAAGAGUCGAGUUGUUUGGGAAUGCAGCUCAAAGUGGGUGGUAAAUUCCAUCUAAAGCUAAAUACCGGCGAGAGACCGAUAGCGAACAAGUACAGUGAUGGAAAGAUGAAAAGCACUUUGAAAAGAGAGUGAAACAGUACGUGAAAUUGUUGAAAGGGAAGGGCUUGCAAGCAGACACGGCCUUCGUGCCGGGCCAGCAUCGGUUGCUAGGGGUGGAUAAGGAACAAGGAAUGUAGCUCCUCGGAGUAUUAUAGCCUUGCGCGAUACACCCACUGGCGACCGAGGCCUGCGGUAUUCUUUACCUAGGAUGCUGGCGUAAUGGUUGCAAGCCGCCCGUCUUGAAAC